AUUACAGGAGCUACUCUUUAGGAAGCACUGAUGAUGUGCCAGCGCCUCACAGCAGCCCCAUGACAUAGGUACUUUAUUCACGUCACUUACAGAUGAGCAAGCUAAAACUCAGAGAGGUUAAGUCAUUUGUUCUGGGUCACACAGCCAACUCUCAAGGCUGUGCCUGGAUGACUCCAUUACCACCAUCCUAAACGAUGUCCCAAAGUGAGGAAAACACCAUAAACUGAGCGAUUGACUUCUAGGUCCCAGGGACUGCUAAGUGUCCUCCCAAGAACCAAAGAUGAUUUAUCCGUGGGUUUUGUCUGAACACACAAUAGGGGUUUUAUCCUCAUCUCUGGGGUUCUCUCGUGUGAUUUGGAAGCAGCAGAUCUGCAUGUCCGUGGGAGAGGGGUGAUUGGGCCAGCUCUCAUGUGAUCCGGAUCUGCCAGCCUGGAGCAACCACAAGCCCAAGGGAGCCCCGGGAAGGACCUCGUGAGAAGCAGUCGGUGAGUUGAAACAGGAGGUGCCAGGGACUGUCGCACACACUCGGAAACGUGAGCUAGGACAGUGCUUGGCAUGCCAGAAACUCUCCAUAAAUGUUAGCUGUUAUCAUCAUCAUCAUCGCCACGGAUUCUUGACACCUUGCUUUCCAAACCUUCACCUGCACAUGGUUCUCCUGGGAGCUUAGUCAGGUGCAGUUUCCGACUCAGAAGAUCUUGGGAGAAGCCUGAGAUCCUGCAUUUCUACCAGCUCGCGGGGAUGCUGCUGGUACACAGACCAC